UUACCCUGCCAUGAGAGUUCUAUACAGUCUUUGUUUCCGACAGAGAACUGAAGCCGCUAUCUAAGCCCUCGCCAAAGCAACCAGACUCCACUGAAAAAAACUGUAAUUUUACCUCGCAGAACACGGGACUUGCUGGUCUACCGCUGCC